GGAGCUUGCUUCUCCGGAUGAGUUGCGAACGGGUGAGUAACGCGUAGGUAACCUGCCUGGUAGCGGGGGAUAACUACUGGAAACGAUAGCUAAUACCGCAUAAGAGUAGAUGUUGCAUGACAUUUGCUUAAAAGGUGCAAUUGCAUCACUACCAGAUGGACCUGCGUUGUAUUAGCUAGUUGGUGGGGUAACGGCUCACCAAGGCGACGAUACAUAGCCGACCUGAGAGGGUGAUCGGCCACACUGGGACUGAGACACGGCCCAGACUCCUACGGGAGGCAGCAGUAGGGAAUCUUCGGCAAUGGACGGAAGUCUGACCGAGCAACGCCGCGUGAGUGAAGAAGGUUUUCGGAUCGUAAAGCUCUGUUGUAAGAGAAGAACGAGUGUGAGAGUGGAAAGUUCACACUGUGACGGUAUCUUACCAGAAAGGGACGGCUAACUACGUGCCAGCAGCCGCGGUAGUACGUAGGUCCCGAGCGUUGUCCGGAUUUAUUGGGCGUAAAGCGAGCGCAGGCGGUUAGAUAAGUCUGAAGUUAAAGGCUGUGGCUUAACCAUAGUACGCUUUGGAAACUGUUUAACUUGAGUGCAAGAGGGGAGAGUGGAAUUCCAUGUGUAGCGGUGAAAUGCGUAGAUAUAUGGAGGAACACCGGUGGCAAAGCGGCUCCUGGCUUGUAACUGACGCUGA
rnacentral:rRNA from 1 species